CAGCUGUGAUGUUUUUUGAAUUUCUUCACCUGAUCUACAUGAAGAGCAUAACCGAGCUUUUUAACCCUGAGCUGA
rnacentral:snoRNA from 1 species